GUCAGCAGCUAGCUCUCUGCAACUCUCACAUGGUCACCCAAUGAAGCUAAGCAGGGCUGCGCCUGGUCAGUAUGGAUGGAAGACCACAUGGGAAAGCUAGGUUGCUGCCGGAU
rfam:Danio rerio chromosome 24 genomic contig CTG2248, GRCz11 reference primary assembly.